UUUCCGUAGGUGAACCUGCGGAAGGAUCAUUAAUGAGUUGUCAUGGGGUUCGAUGCUAGCAGCCAAUUUUUGGAUGCAUGUGCUUGCCCUAACAAUCAUCUUCCAAACACCUGUGCACAUUUUUGAGGGAGUCUUGAGUUGGUUGCCGCUCUUGGGUGAUUUUCUCACAUUCCCUUAAAUCAUUAUACGCUAUUAACAAUGUUGAACGUGCUCUGUGCCGCAAGGCUAUUAAUAUAAUACAACUUUUAACAACGGAUCUCUUGGCUCUC
rnacentral:misc_RNA from 1 species